rnacentral:rRNA from 1 species
UAGGGGUUCUGAGAGGAAGGUCCCCCACACUGGUACUGAGACACGGACCAGACUCCUACGGGAGGCAGCAGUGAGGAAUAUUGGUCAAUGGGCGGGAGCCUGAACCAGCCAAGUCGCGUGAGGGAAGACGGUCCUAUGGAUUGUAAACCUCUUUUGCCGGGGAGCAACGGGGUCCUUGCGAGGGCCUAAUGAGAGUACCCGGAGAAAAAGCAUCGGCUAACUCCGUGCCAGCAGCCGCGGUAAUACGGAGGAUGCGAGCGUUAUCCGGAUUUAUUGGGUUUAAAGGGUGCGUAGGCGGGCUGUUAAGUCAGCGGUCAAAUGUCGGGGCUCAACCCCGGCCUGCCGUUGAAACUGGUGGCCUCGAGUGGGCGAGAAGUAUGCGGAAUGCGUGGUGUAGCGGUGAAAUGCAUAGAUAUCACGCAGAACUCCGAUUGCGAAGGCAGCAUACCGGCGCCCGACUGACGCUGAGGCACGAAAGCGUGGGUAUCGAACAGGAUUAGAUACCCUGGUAGUCCACGCAGUAAACGAUGAAUGCUAGCUGUCCGGGGCUUCGGUCCUGG